UACGUAGGGACCAAGCGUUGUUCGGAUUUACUGGGCGUAAAGGGCGCGUAGGCGGCGUGGUAAGUCAGCUGUGAAAUCUCCGAGCUUAACUCGGAACGGUCAGCUGAUACUGCUGUGCUAGAGUGCAGAAGGGGCAAUCGGAAUUCUCGGUGUAGCGGUGAAAUGCGUAGAUAUCAAGAGGAACACCUGAGGUGAAGACGGGUUGCUGGGCUGACACUGACGCUGAGGCGCGAAAGCGUGGGGAGCAAACAGG
rnacentral:rRNA from 1 species